GACGAACGCUGGCGGCGUGCUUAACACAUGCAAGUCGAACGGAAAGGCCCUGCUUUUGUGGGGUGCUCGAGUGGCGAACGGGUGAGUAACACGUGAGUAACCUGCCCUUGACUUUGGGAUAACUUCAGGAAACUGGGGCUAAUACCGGAUAGGAGCUCCUGCUGCAUGGUGGGGGUUGGAAAGUUUCGGCGGUUGGGGAUGGACUCGCGGCUUAUCAGCUUGUUGGUGGGGUAGUGGCUUACCAAGGCUUUGACGGGUAGCCGGCCUGAGAGGGUGACCGGCCACAUUGGGACUGAGAUACGGCCCAGACUCCUACGGGAGGCAGCAGGGGGGAAUAUUGCACAAUGGGCGGAAGCCUGAUGCAGCAACGCCGCGUGCGGGAUGACGGCCUUCGGGUUGUAAACCGCUUUCGCCUGUGACGAAGCGGGAGUGACGGUAAUGGGUAAAGAAGCGCCGGCUAACUACGUG
rnacentral:rRNA from 1 species